rnacentral:rRNA from 1 species
GACGAACGCUGGCGGCGUGCUUAACACAUGCAAGUCGAACGUGAAGCCACCUUCGGGUGGUGGAAAGUGGCAGACGGGUGAGUAACGCGUGUGAACGUGCCUUUCGGUUCGGGAUAACCCAGGGAAACUUGGGCUAAUACCGGAUACGCCCUUCGGGGGAAAGCUUUAUUGCCGAAAGAUCGGCCCGCGUCGGAUUAGAUAGUUGGUAGGGUAAUGGCCUACCAAGGCGACGAUCCGUAGCUGGUCUGAGAGGAUGACCAGCCACACUGGGACUGAGACACGGCCCAGACUCCUACGGGAGGCAGCAGUGGGGAAUAUUGGACAAUGGGCGCAAGCCUGAUCCAGCCAUGCCGCGUGGGUGAAGAAGGCCUUAGGGUUGUAAACCCCUUUCAGCGGGGAAGAUAAUGGCGGUACCCGCAGAAGAAGUCCCGGCUAACUCCGUGCCAGCCGCCGCAGUAA